AGUGAACGCUGGCGGUAGGCCUAACACAUGCAAGUCGAACGGCCGCACAGUAAGAGCUUGCUCUUACGGGUGGCGACUGGCGGACGGGUGAGGAAUACAUCGGCAUCUACUUUUUCGGGGGGGAUUACGUAGGGCAACCUACGCUAACACCGCAUAUGUCCUACGGGUGAAAGCAGGGGAUCAUCGCACCUUGCGCGAUUGUAUGAGCCGAUGUCGGAUUAGCUAGUUGGCGGGGUAAAGGCCCACCAAGGCGACGAUCCGUUGCUGGUCUGAGAGGAUGAUCAGCCACACUGGAACUUAGACACGGUCCAGACUCCUACGGGAGGCAGCAGUGGGGAAUAUUGGACAAUGGGCGCAAGCCUGAUCCAGCCAUACCGCGUGGGUGAAGAAGGCCUUCGGGUUGUAAAGCCCUUUUGUUGGGAAAGAAAAGCAGCAGGUUAAUACCCCGCUGUUCUGACGGUACCCAAAGAAUAAGCACCGGCUAACUUCGUG
rnacentral:rRNA from 1 species